CCCUUAGAUGUUCUGGGCCGCACGCGCGCUACACUGACUGGUUCAUCGAGUAUACAACCUUGACUGAUAGGUCUGGGUAAUCUUCUCAAAGCCAGUCGUGCUGGGGAUAGAUUAUUGUAAUUUUUAAUCUUCAACGAGGAAUUCCUAGUAAACGCGAGUCAUCAACUCGCAUUGAUUACGUCCCUGCCCUUUGUACACACCGCCCGUCGCUCCUACCGAUUGAAUGCUCAGGUGAGCCAUUCGGACCUUCAUCAUGCCGGUUUCCGGUUUUGAUGAGGGAAAGUCUUGCGAACCUUAUCAUUUAGAGGAAGGAGAAGUCGUAACA
rnacentral:rRNA from 1 species